GAUGAACGCUGGCGGCGUGCCUAAUACAUGCAAGUCGAGCGAACGGACGAGAAGCUUGCUUCGCUUAUGUUAGCGGCGGACGGGUGAGGAACACGAGGAUAACCUACCUAUAAGAAUGGGAUAACGUCGGGAAACCGGAGCUAAUACCGGACAAUAGGUUGAACCGGAUGGUUCAAAAGUGAAAGACGGUCUUGCUGUCACUUGUAGGUGGAACCGCGCUGGAUUAGCUAGUUGGUAAGGUAACGGCCUACCAAGGCAACGAUGCAUAGCCGACCUGAGAGGGUGAUCGGCCACACUGGAACUGAGACACGGUCCAGACUCCUACGGGAGGCAGCAGUGGGGAAUAUUGCGCAAUGGGCGAAAGCCUGACGGAGCCACGCCGCGUGUGUGAUGAAGGUCUUCGGAUCGUAAAGCUCUGUUAUUAGGGAAGAACAUCUGUGUAAGUAACUGUGCAUGUCUUGACGGUACCUAAUCAGAAAGCCCCGGCUAACUACGUG
rnacentral:rRNA from 1 species